UACGUAGGGGGCAAGCGUUGUCCGGAAUCAUUGGGCGUAAAGAGCGUGUAGGCGGUUCGGUAAGUCGGCUGUGAAAGUCCAGGGCUCAACCCUGGGAUGCCGGCCGAUACUGCCGGACUAGAGUUCGGAAGAGGCGAGUGGAAUUCCCGGUGUAGCGGUGAAAUGCGCAGAUAUCGGGAGGAACACCUAUGGCGAAGGCAGCUCGCUGGGACGUUACUGACGCUGAGACGCGAAAGCGUGGGGAGCAAACAGG
rnacentral:rRNA from 1 species